rnacentral:tRNA from 1 species
AGGGAUGUAGCUCAAUGGUAGAGUACUCGCUUAGCAUGUGAAAGGUCUGGGUUUGAACCCCAGCACUGCAA